rnacentral:rRNA from 1 species
AUUGAACGCUGGCGGCAUGCUUUACACAUGCAAGUCGAACGGUAACAGGCCGCAAGGUGCUGACGAGUGGCGAACGGGUGAGUAAUGUAUCGGAAUGUGCCCAGUCGUGGGGGAUAACGCAGCGAAAGCUGCGCUAAUACCGCAUACGAUCUAUGGAUGAAAGCGGGGGACCGUAAGGCCUCGCGCGAUUGGAGCGGCCGAUAUCAGAUUAGGUAGUUGGUGGGGUAAAGGCUCACCAAGCCAACGAUCUGUAGCUGGUCUGAGAGGACGACCAGCCACACUGGGACUGAGACACGGCCCAGACUCCUACGGGAGGCAGCAGUGGGGAAUUUUGGACAAUGGGCGCAAGCUUGAUCCAGCAAUGCCGCGUGCAGGAAGAAGGCCUUCGGGUUGUAAACUGCUUUUGUACGGAACGAAACGGUCCUGGUUAAUACCUGGGGCUAAUGACGGUACCGUAAGAAUAAGCACCGGCUAACUACGUGCCAGCAGCCGCCGUAACAC